GACUGCUGCUCAUAAGGACCUAGAGUAAGGUGACUUAAGCCCAGAGAGCCUUCAUCAAACAAAAGCUGCAUGGAGAAUGGAGAGAAGGGUUCACGGCCUCUACAUGAAAUGAUAGCCAGCAUUUAUUCAGCUUUUACUGAUUUGCAGGCACAGUUCUAACUGCAUUAUAUGGAUCAUCUCAUUUAAUCCUGGCAACAACUCAAUGAUGAUGAAGGUCACAUCCAUAUUAAUUGCCCUUAUAGUGAAGCCUUCCUGGAGGCCACCUGUCAGCACAUCUGGAGCUCAUGUUGCUGCUGCUUCCAACACGGCACCAUUUCCAUCUCUACUCUGACUUCAAAGACCCAUCAAGGUUGAUGAUAUUUAAUGCAUGUGAUGGGGGGAAGAAGAAAUAGUCCUUGGUGAAAUAAGUGUGGGAAACAGGAUAUUCAAGUAAG